rnacentral:lncRNA from 10 species
AGCCUGCUGUGCGGAGCUGGGGGAGGAGGAGGGAGCCCUGGGGGACAGACAGAAGGACCAUCGAAGGAGAAACCCUGCUGGCCUCGGGACCUGGAGGAAAGAACCAGGGCCCGUGCUCCUUGGGCCAGGAUCCGGCGAUUGGACGGAACCUCUCGGAUUCCCCAGUGCUGUGAAAUCCACUUGGGGCCAUCACACCCUUCAUUGCUGUGCUCCCUGGCAGAACUCGAAUGCAGCGUGAGCUGGGCACUUUUCCCAGGGUUUGCUCUAGGUCUGGGUCUCCCAUCAGCUCCCCCGGAGCAGAGCCUGAGGCAAGGAUUCUUGUUCGGGGGCAUCUUCCUCUCAGCACCGUGCUUUGGGAAUCGAGUGAUGGUGCUGAGUGAACCCCUGAGUGAACAUCUGUGGCUUCCUCCCACCUCGUCUCUGGAUGCACUCCUGUUCGAAUGAUGUCUUAGAGGAUAAAAAUGAGCGGGCAGAUGAAGAGAUACUCAGGGUGAGGUUUGGAAGGUGCACCAGGCCCACCCCAUGGAUGUGGCUCAGAGAGCCUGGGAAACGUGAGGUCUGUGACCUGGAUCAGGCCCAGAGAGACCUGAGCAGGAGGCGUGUGAAGCCCCUGCGCCUGUGCGAGGAGGGAAGCUGUUUCAGGGAAUUUGCCUUUCUUUCCCUGUAGUUUCAGACUAGCUGAUAAAUUACCUAAAAUGUUACCACAA